UAGGGAAUAUUGGACAAUGGGUGAGAGCCUGAUCCAGCCAUGCCGCGUGCAGGAAGAAGGCGUUAUGCGUUGUAAACUGCUUUUUGCCAGGGGAUAAAAAGACCGUGCGCGGUUAAUUGAAGGUACCUGGUGAAUAAGCCACGGCUAACUACGUGCCAGCAGCCGCGGUAAUACGUAGGUGGCAAGCGUUGUCCGGAUUUAUUGGGUUUAAAGGGUGCGUAGGUGGCCCUGUAAGUCAGUGGUGAAAUAUCUCAGCUUAACUGAGAGGGUGCAAUUGAUACUGCAGGGCUUGAGUACAGAUGAGGUAGGCGGAAUUGACGGUGUAGCGGUGAAAUGCAUAGAUAUCGUCAAGAACACCGAUAGCGAAGGCAGCUUACCAAGCUGUAACUGACACUGAGGCACGAAAGUGUGGGGAUCAAACAGGAUUAGAUACCCGCGUAGUCCCUGAGCGGGCUGGCAAGGCGCAU
rnacentral:rRNA from 1 species